UCAGCUAUAUACGUGCGGCACCAGUUUUGAAAAGGAAUGUUGUCCAGAUGGUACUUUUCAGAGGUCAUUUUUUGAUUUUCCAGGCGAUUAUCAUAGUAUAUGGGAAAAACCUGGAUGAAAUGUAAGAAAAACGGGAAAUGUACUAAACGUAGGUAUUUUAAAAUAUUAUUAUAGUCUUUUUUUCUGUGUGCAACUUUUCCACCAGCAAUUUCGUUCCGACUUAAAAUGAUGGUAAUUUUCUGAAUAGAAAUGUGACUG